rnacentral:pre_miRNA from 2 species
UCUUAUGCAUGAGCAAAGAAAGUGGUUUCCUGAGACAGAAUUCACCCCUGGUGAAGAUGCUGUGAA